CCUGGCUCAGGACGAACGCUGGCGGCGCGCCUAACACAUGCAAGUCGAACGAGCGAGAGAGAGCUUGCUUUCUCGAGCGAGUGGCGAACGGGUGAGUAACGCGUGAGGAACCUGCCUCAAAGAGGGGGACAACAGUUGGAAACGACUGCUAAUACCGCAUAAGCCCGCGACCCGGCAUCGGGUAGAGGGAAAAGGAGCGAUCCGCUUUGAGAUGGCCUCGCGUCCGAUUAGCUAGUUGGUGAGGUAACGGCCCACCAAGGCGACGAUCGGUAGCCGGACUGAGAGGUUGAACGGCCACAUUGGGACUGAGACACGGCCCAGACUCCUACGGGAGGCAGCAGUGGGGAAUAUUGCACAAUGGGGGAAACCCUGAUGCAGCGACGCCGCGUGGAGGAAGAAGGUCUUCGGAUUGUAAACUCCUGUUGUUGAGGAAGAUAAUGACGGUACUCAACAAGGAAGUGACGGCUAACUACGUGCCAGCAGCCGCGGUAAAACGUAGGUCACAAGCGUUGUCCGGAAUUACUGGGUGUAAAGGGAGCGCAGGCGGGAAGACAAGUUGGAAGUGAAAUCCAUGGGCUCAACCCAUGAACUGCUUUCAAAACUGUUUUUCUUGAGUAGUGCAGAGGUAGGCGGAAUUCCCGGUGUAGCGGUGGAAUGCGUAGAUAUCGGGAGGAACACCAGUGGCGAAGGCGGCCUACUGGGCACCAACUGACGCUGAGGCUCGAAAGUGUGGGUAGCAAACAGGAUUAGAUACCCUGGUAGUCCACACUGUAAACGAUGAUUACUAGGUGUUGGAGGAUUGACCCCUUCAGUGCCGCAGUUAACACAAUAAGUAAUCCACCUGGGGAGUACGACCGCAAGGUUGAAACUCAAAGGAAUUGACGGGGGCCCGCACAAGCAGUGGAGUAUGUGGUUUAAUUCGACGCAACGCGAAGAACCUUACCAAGUCUUGACAUCCUGCGACGCACAUAGAAAUAUGUGUUUCCUUCGGGACGCAGAGACAGGUGGUGCAUGGUUGUCGUCAGCUCGUGUCGUGAGAUGUUGGGUUAAGUCCCGCAACGAGCGCAACCCUUAUGGUCAGUUACUACGCAAGAGGACUCUGGCCAGACUGCCGUUGACAAAACGGAGGAAGGUGGGGAUGACGUCAAAUCAUCAUGCCCUUUAUGACUUGGGCUACACACGUACUACAAUGGCGUUAAACAAAGAGAAGCAAGACCGCGAGGUGGAGCAAAACUCAGAAACAACGUCCCAGUUCGGACUGCAGGCUGCAACUCACCUGCACGAAGUCGGAAUUGCUAGUAAUCGCAGAUCAGCAUGCUGCGGUGAAUACGUUCCCGGGCCUUGUACACACCGCCC
rnacentral:rRNA from 1 species